UGUAAGCCAGGUUGGUUUCUAUCUUUAAUUAGUUAAUAUAUUUUAGUACGAAAGGACCAAUUAUAUAAAUUUUAUUUUAAAAUUGAGUAAAUAAUAUUAUUUUGGCAGAUUAGUGCAAUAGAUUUAGAAUCUUUUUAUGUAAUUUUUUACAGAUAA
rnacentral:tRNA from 1 species